UAGAGGUGGACUUUGCCUCUCUGUCCCUCUUUCUCCGCCUGCUUCCGGGGCAUGGAAGGGCUGGCCAUGCUUAGGCAGCUUAUUGGUCAGCUUCAAGACCUCUUGAUUCUCUACGGCUCUCCUCCUCCUCCUCCUCCUCCUUAAUUGCUUGUGGUGUACCUUAGGGAUAGAGCCUGGUACUGAUGCUGCUAGAGAUUUGUGACUUUGGCCUGGUUGAGCUUGGAACGUAGGCGUGCCAUUGGUAACUAUCAGGGCUAUCUAUAAAAAGGAUGUUGAAAAUAGGGAUAUGGUCACUUUUAUUAUCAGGCUUAAUACUGUCGUAAAAAAGAUCCUUGAUGAUCGAGUCCAGAAUUAUAUAUUAUUGUUACUCCUGGUAGAUAGGAUGAAGAGGAGCAUGCAAUUUUUAUUUAUUUAUUUUAAAUGUGG
rnacentral:misc_RNA from 1 species